rnacentral:rRNA from 1 species
GACGAACGCUGGCGGCGUGCUUAACACAUGCAAGUCGAGCGGAAAGGCCCUUCGGGGUACUCGAGCGGCGAACGGGUGAGUAACACGUGAGCAACCUGCCCUACGCUUUGGGAUAACCCUCGGAAACGGGGGCUAAUACCGGAUAUUCAUAUGCUGUCGCAUGGUGGUGUGUGGAAAAGAUUUUUUUGGCGUGGGAUGGGCUCGCGGCCUAUCAGCUUGUUGGUGGGGUGAUGGCCUACCAAGGCGGACGACGGGUAGCCGGCCUGAGAGGGCGACCGGCCACACUGGGACUGAGACACGGCCCAGACUCCUACGGGAGGCAGCAGUGGGGAAGUAUUGCACAAUGGGGCGGAAGCCUGAUGCAGCGACGCCGCGU